GGCUCAGUAGCUUAGUAAAGCACUUGUCUAGCGAAUAAGGGUCGUGAGUUCAAAUCUCACCUGAGCUG
rnacentral:tRNA from 1 species